CAAGGUAUUAUAUUCUUUGAAGUUUAAUGCUGAUAGAACGCUUGAGAGACACAAGGUUCGUGUAGUUGCAAAAGGGUUUACUCAAAAGGAGGGUUUGGAUUAUACUGAAACCUUUUCACCCGUUGCCAAGCUCACAACAGUCCGGUUUCUAUUGAAAGUUGCAGCAUCCCGGAAUUGGUUCCUUCACCAACUCGACAUAUCAAAUGUGUUUUUGAAUGGUGAUCUUGAUGAAGAAAUAUAUGAAGAUACCAGAUGGUUAUUGUAACACCCCCGAACUGUUUUAGACAUCGGUCAGUCAGCCGGGCAACAAUCAAACAAGAACAUGCCCAAACGACCUUCCUCUGCCAAGUCCGGAAGUGUCACAACGGGUUUAGAAUAGACUUUCCAAGUCACAAAACAUAAUUCUGUAACCCAGAAUAUCCAUUCAAAACUCGUUUCCUCUAAUCUUCGGCCUGAGGCUUUUCAACCUGUACCGAGUAAUAGAGUUGUGUUAGGUUGGACUAACCUAAUAUCAGAUUCAACACGUCACGAAUAUAAAACAUACUUUAUUUCAUAUAUAUAAAAUAUGAAGUUCACAAUAUCAAAAUAUUAUACAUAGGGUCCAUAGACGCAGUCGAAAGUAAAACAUACAUUCAUAUAUCUUGAAAACGAGUCUAUAGCAAAAGAUGAUCAAUCUACACCAGCUCCUACAGUUCCGCGAGUGCUACGGUCCUCUCUACUGGUCACCUGCAAAAGGAUGUGAGGAGUGAGUGAACUAGUUUCACUCAGUGAGCCAGGGUUCCCUAUCUAGCAUAUACAACUACCCGUCAUUCUAAACCCAACCCCAAACACAAGCAAGACGGGUAGUUCAACAAUCAAUAUUCAAGAUAAUAAAGCAUGACCGAUUUAAGCAAUAAACCAUUAAACCAUAAUAAUUCAAAACACUCUUUAUGAGUGUCACAUCAAUCAACCAUAUAUAUAUAUAUAUAUACUCCUAGGGCCCAACAGAAUCAUUCUUCCUCCACAUAAGGGAUACCGGCAAUCCCUUCACCACACAGGCGUAGGCGCUCGGGAAUCGCCCGGUCACGGUCCUCAAUCGGAAUCGCUGUGCCCCGGUCCUCUAUCGGACUCGCCGGGGUCUGCCACAUCCAUGUGUGACACUCGGCCUUGGUGAUCAAGCCAAGUUAAACCGAGCCCACCACUUUCCGGACCACGACCGGCUUAGUGGUACCAUUUGAGGAAGCAAUGACCUGCAACUACUACUAGAACCACCACGAGGUUAUCACACAACAGUACCGACACGAGGUACACAACAUAACAACAUAUAAUAAUCACACAAUCACAAUAACCCGGAUGCUUAGACUAGUCAUGCUAUCCGCUUAGACUAGUCAUGCUAUCCACUCACCUCAAGCCUCGGAUCCACAAACUGACACCUAGACCGGACCGGCUUUCCUAGCUCGGAAGCCGUCUCCGAUGUCAGGUACCUCAAUUAAAAAUUCGUUAACAAAUAAUUAACCGUGACUCACAGUGAUUAACCGAUGUGGCUUGACUUUCUGAUUCCGGAAGCUGACCAAACCCUUUUUAUUCCCUCCAAAUCUUCGUCUUGAUUCCGUACCGUUAAUCCCGCAAUUCCGUACCGUUAAUCCUGCAAUCUUGUAACACGUCUUGCUUCUCCAAGCAACUCUCUAAUUUAUUUAUUUUCUUUUCUUCUUUUUCUUUCUUUUCUUUUCCCUUUCUCUUAUUAUUUUCUUCUCCUCCUUUUGCUUUCUUUUCUCUUCGUCGUUGGAGUCGAGAGGAAGUGGAAAGUUGGA
rnacentral:lncRNA from 1 species